UCGACAGGGUGGUUGACCGUCUUCUUAUUGGUGCUUGGUGACUUUGAUUAGAUGGUCCGUUCAAGGACAUGGCUGGUCCAGACUAUGUCUGCGCUGUCCGGAUGACGACCUCCGACGACCCAGCUGUUACCCUCGCAAGCGGCUGUCACUGUCGCUGUCGACUGUCACUCCUGCCCGUCCCUUGUCACUCGUGCUCGUGCUCGUCUUGCCAUUCUACGCUCCUGUCAGCCAUACCUCGUCUAUGCAUUGUCUGCCAAGAAGACCCAGCUCCACGGAUACUUCCAACGGUCUAUAAAAGUGGGCACUUGUGAGGGGAACCGUACCUGAGUGGGGGAUGCUUGUGUUUAGUCGGUCAAUGUCGACUGUUUGGAGAGUGUAGACUGACCAGUAAGCCACUUGACUUGUAUUGCACACACAUCUCUACGAGUACGUGUGCUCUCUGACAGAAUACACCAGUUGACUUUUCCUUCUGGAACACGCUAAUGAGCUCUCAACGCCGGAUGCAGACAUUAUCGGACAAAAGUGUCGGACUUGACCGUGUAAGCGGCUAGGAUCAACGACAUCCGUGAACCUACAUUCUCCAGUACGAGUACAGCACGAGUACAGCACGAGUACAGUACAGGUACCUACUCGUGCUAAAGCACUAAACUGGUGAUGCAUCUAAUUGUUUGUCUAUAGCUCGUUACCAAUACAAACUGUCCUUGUCUG
rnacentral:misc_RNA from 1 species